rfam:Triticum aestivum genome assembly, contig: Triticum_aestivum_CS42_TGACv1_scaffold_095503_2AL
GUACUACUUCCUCCGUUCGGAAUUAUUUGUCUCAAAAAUAAAUGUAUUUAGAUGUAUUUUAGUUUUUAGAUACAUCCAUUUCUAAGACAAGUAAUUUCGAACAGAGAGAGUACAUA